UACGUAGGGUGGUAGCGUUGUCCGGAUUUAUUGGGCGUAAAGAGCGUGUAGGCGGCCAUGUAGGUCCGGUGUGAAAACUCGAGGCUUAACCUCGAGAUGUCAUCGGAAACCAUUUGGCUAGAGUCCGGAAGAGGAGAGUGGAAUUCCUGGUGUAGCGGUGAAAUGCGCAGAUAUCAGGAAGAACACCAAUGGCGAAAGCAGCUCUCUGGGACGGUACUGACGCUGAGACGCGAAAGCGUGGGGAGCGAGCCGG
rnacentral:rRNA from 1 species